rnacentral:rRNA from 1 species
UGAGGAAUAUUGGGCAAUGCCCGCAAGGGUGACCCAGCAAUGCCGCGUGGAGGAUGAAGGUCGUAAGAUUGUAAACUCCUUUGGAGGGGGAAGAAAAACUGAGUCUAAAGGGCUCAGGUUGGCUGUACCCAUAGAACAAGCCCCGUAUAUCUGCGUGCCCGCAGGCGCUAUAAUAGGUAGGGGGCGAGCGUUGUCCGGAUUUACUGGGUGUAAAGGGCGCGCAGGUGGGUUUGUAAGUCAGAGGAGAAAGCCUGGAUCUCAACUCCAGAACUCCCUUUGAAACUACAUAUGUUGAGUGCAGAAGAGAGAAGCAGGAAUUCCGAGGUGUAGUAAUGAAAUAAGUAGAUAUCUGGAAGAACACCUAGUUGAGAAGGCGUUUUUUUGGUCUGUCACUGACAGUGAGGCGAGAAAGCGUGGGGAGCACACAGGAUUAGAGCCCGUGGUAGUACACGCAGUAAGCUGAUGAAUACUAGAUGUCGGGUUUUUACUCGGUGUCGCAGCUAACGCAUUAAGUAUCCACCCCUG